GAUGUGAGGGAUUUGGUUCCUCUCCAAUUGCUAUUUUAUCCAGCCCGAGCUUGUUGAACCUGACCACAACAAAACAACAAAAUCAAGGUAUCUGCUGAGCUGCAGGUAUGUGAACAAUGCUGCUCUUACUCCAACCUGAAAUGAACGCUGUUGUGUUUACUGUUGCUUUUCUGACUCCUACACAGCUCUAGUUCCGGUCCAAAACCUCUCUGAGAGAGAGGGAUUAACAAUGACAAAAAAAGUGUUUGUCAUUUCAGUAGAAUGCUGCCUCACAGGUUGAAAGUAUCUCUAUCACCACCCUGUGCAUAUGAAUCAGUUUAUAACAUAAACCUAUGGGAGUAACAUAAAAGAUCACUUCAUCAUCAAAACGUGUCCUCCAUAGAAAACAUACAAUGUCUUCUCAUUAAAUGUGAACUGAAAUGUUUCACAGGUGAUUAUUAGCUCAUGUCAGACAGUGACAUGUUUACAGAGACUAAUGACCACAGUUUCGGGUGUGAGAAUAUGGAGUAACUACCUGUUGCUUCCACAUGCCACAAUGCUGUGCUGGGUGCUGAUAAUCAUCGAGCAGUCAACUCCACACACCACCCUCUGGGCCUCAAAUUCCACAGGUAAACAUACCUGCUGUGGAGAGUUGUGGGUGUCUUGGGUGCCUAGCCCGAGGCGACCUUUGAGACACAGGAACAGAAACACAGACCCAACAAUCAAGCUGUGUGCUGAUGUGAUUCAUGAUGCAAAUACUUCUCUUUCAUUGGUCACAGCGAGUACAUGGGAAGCACCACACGACACCUGAACCAGCUCAUAGCCGAGGAGCGCCUCAACUAUUUUGGGCUUGAGUAUAAAAACAGAGAGGGG